AUUGAACGCUGGCGGCAGGCCUAACACAUGCAAGUCGAGCGGAUGAAGGGAGCUUGCUCCUGGAUUCAGCGGCGGACGGGUGAGUAAUGCCUAGGAAUCUGCCUGGUAGUGGGGGAUAACGUCCGGAAACGGGCGCUAAUACCGCAUACGUCCUGAGGGAGAAAGUGGGGGAUCUUCGGACCUCACGCUCUCAGAUGAGCCUAGGUCGGAUUAGCUAGUUGGUGGGGUAAAGGCCUACCAAGCCGACGAUCCGUAACUGGUCUGAGAGGAUGAUCAGUCACACUGGAACUGAGACACGGUCCAGACUCCUACGGGAGGCAGCAGUGGGGAAUAUUGGACAGUGGGCGAAAGCCUGAUCCAGCCAGGCCGCGUGUGUGAAGAAGGUCUUCGGAUUGUAAAGCACUUUAAGUUGGGGGGAAGGGCAGUAAGUUAAUACCUUGCUGUUUUGACGUUACCAACAGAAUAAGCACCGGCUAACUUCGUG
rnacentral:rRNA from 1 species